rfam:Pseudobutyrivibrio ruminis strain ACV-9 genome assembly, contig: IE77DRAFT_scaffold00003.3
UUUGGAAUGAGCUUAGUAGAACAAAAAGAGAUAUUUGAUAUGGAUGAGCAGCUGCCGCUAGGACGGCGGCAGCAGUGGUCACUUGAAACACGACGUUGAAUGUGCCACGGUGCUCAUACAUACAAAUAUCUCUUUUUUAGUUCUACUUAGCGAAUGUAAUA